rnacentral:lncRNA from 1 species
UCAGAUAUUUCUGCUUUUUCAAAACUGCCAGGCACUUGCCGGAACUUACCAUUUCACCCUCUUCAGAGAAUGGUUCAGAAGCCCUGGAUCUUACAUUGUGUCUCCCAUGCAGGCAGAUCAGAGAGGUGAGAGACCAAGCACCUCCGACGGAGAAGGCCGGAGAAAAGGUGCUGGAGGAGAUGAACAGUCUGCGGGCCAAGGCGCUCAACCCACACCUGAUUCUAGAGUAAAAGUCACCACAGGGUCAGGUCCUGUCCUGCGCUU